CCUCGGGGACGACCCUGCGGCUGUGUUUUCAUCAGGGGACGGCCCCA
rnacentral:ncRNA from 1 species